CACAGUCUGGUCAGGAUCCAUGCUGGUCGCAAAUGCACUAUGUUGGUUUUCUCAUGGGGUGGCUCAUUAUUUCGUUAUAGUUUACAGUUAAGCUGAUCUUGUCAAGUAGCUUUUCCGAUUGAUUACACCGGAUAUGAAGCAUGCAUAUAUCUAAUUGUUUUCUAUAUACAGUCUUACUUAUUUUCGUAUCUAAAAUUUUAGAGAUCCGAUCGUAUUAUACAAUAGAUGAUGGCUUACUUGGAUGAAAUAAAACCUGCUUUAGUUUUGCCUGCGUUUCUUAUGGUAAUUGGAUUCAUUGGUAAUCUUCACGUGCUUUUCGUAUACACUUUUCGGCUUAAACCUUCCAACCACGGGAUCUAUAUUAUUUUUCUUAGUGUUCAGGAUACCGUUGCGUGUGUACUUCUUAUUCCUACACAGAUCUACAUUUACUCAAAUAUAUGGACAUAUGGGAAUGAAUUUACAUGAAGAAUCCAUCUAUUUGAUUCAUCUUUAAUUCAUACUGCAACUGCUUACACACUACUUUUAAUUGCUACAGAUAGGUAUCGAAAAAUAUGUUGUCCGCUUGGAUGGCAAAUAAAAAGAAGAAUCGCUAAAUUGUUAUGCAUUAUUAUUCUGAUUUUCGCCUGUGUUUAUUCAUUGCCGUGUUUAGUACUAAGAGAACCAAAAACGAAAGAAUUAAACAAUGUUACUACCACAAGGUGCGGCGUCGUUGAUGUAUCUAUGAAAUAUCAACAAUAUUAUUUUAUUACAAGGGAUACCUUAUCUCUUGGAUUUUUAUGCAUUCUUAUUUGUCUUUAUGUGUUGAUUUUUAAAUCAGCAGCGAAAUAUCACCUUACAAUCAACACAAAAGACACUGAGAAAAAUACCCAAGGUAUAAACAAAACUUCCGAAGCACAGGAAGAGUAUGUAUCUAGAGAAAUUAUGACACCACCUCGAGAAUGUAUUAUGCAGCCAUCCGACUACCGAAAACCCCAAGACAAUUUCAAUUUCGAUCCAAAUGCAAAGGAACAACAAUCGACCAAUUCUAAUGCCAGACAAACGUGUACGGAAAAAUGUAAUGUCGAUUCAAAAAGAUCAAACAGGUCAAAGAAAAUGAUAAUUGUUUUCAUCUUGAUAACUGCUCUGUAUUUCAUUAGCUAUAUUCCAUUUUUGACUGUACAAACUCUUCUUAUCCAUGGGUUAACUCCGCCUUCAAUUGUACGCUUUAUGGUUAACUUUUGUAUUUUUAUCAACAGCGUGGCAAAUUGUUUCAUAUACAGUUGUUUCGAUACUCGUUUCAGAAAUGAGAUAAGCCUUAUGUAUAAAACGCUAUGGUACAAGUUCAAACACUGUUGCAGCCAUACUGGCAGUGUCAAGUAUGUUAAGUGUAACUUGUAGCAUAUGAUUUGUAAUAUUUUGUUAAGAUCAAAUGCAGUUACAGAAAGAGGGAAGAGUAGAAGAAUCUAUCAAAAACAUCA